AGUGUCUGCGGAGAAGCCCGACACCCACACGGUUGCCCACGAUUGUUAGAGGCUCUGGAGAGAGGACUGGGAGCUGGGACCCGUGAAUUUCCCCGUUUGCGACCCUGAGUCGCGCAGCCCAUUGACCUGAGGCCCCGCUGGCGGUGAGGUGAAGCCGGCCCGGACACCCGAGCUAAGUUUACCCUGGAAUGGGUUUACCCUAGGCUGGUGGGGGUCGUGACUGGGGCUCUUCAAGGACUUGGAGAGGCGGGCAAGGAGAACCCACCCUUGUGGAGAAAACAGUUCCACCGAGGCCCGAGGACAAAUGGAACGAUGCUCGUUGACUUGCUCGGCGGAGCCUUAGGGAGCUGUUAGCAUGCAGCUGGGCCUGUUAUAGGCAUCGUGGGUGUUUUCCUCUUGCCCAGCCUUUCGAAGGACCAGAGAAAACCCUUUCCGUGGGCCCCCAGGCCAUCUCACACGCACUGGUCAGUUCGCCUUUCUCAGACGAAAGGUUCUUACCCUUUAAGGUACUUCGAGCUCUUAGAUUUUCCUCUGAGUGUCCGAAGCCCACGAUAAAGGGACUUCGCCAGCCUUGUCCUUAGGUGUGCCGGAGAAGCCAGGACGGAGCAGAUGUUAUUUGCCCUUGGAAAAACAAAUCUGCCAAGAGGCAUUCCAUCUGAUCUGAGCCUCCUAAGAACACCUGACAAUUUUGUCUCAACAGUAGAAAUUCAGUCUCUCCAAAACCCCAUCCAUCUAUGGGAGAGUUCAAGCUUAAGUAAAUCGAACCCUCCUCCCAAUUGCGUUAAUCCACCCAUCAGUAUUGUGCUUGUGUUAAAACCCAACCAAAAUCAAAUCAUUUUUAAGCACACGGCUGUUUUCAGCAACCAUGUUUCUUUCAAGUCCACCCAAAAACAGAAAACAAAAAGCCGUUUUACCACUAAUUUCAGUUGGUUGCAAAAUCUGUUACUUGAGAUCCUCACACUAGGAUGGGAAAGUGGAUUCCUGAGAUGGCUCCAGGCAAAGGGAGGUGUGUUUCCUUGCAAGAAAAAUGUUAACCCCAAAACCGAGUACCGGAGAUUAGUUCCCAACCAUGCAAGAGGCAGGAGAUCAUUGCUUUCUGCUACAAAAUCUGAUGGACUUUGUUUAGUUUGAGUGUGUUUUUGUUUUUGGCAGUGUCAUCUUUAGGUAACUUUCAAAAAAAAAUCUAUUGUUUUAAUAAGCCAACAUGUUCAGAAGCUAGUAUUCUAAUUAACUGAGUUAUCUUGUUAACCAACUGAUACAAAAUAUUCUAGUAAGGUUAUUCACACCUUACUUCUUAAUUUAGGUUAAGCUCUUUGGUAGCGUCUUAAUUUUUACAAAUUCAGAAUGGAAACUGCUUUUGACUAACUGGUCUAGAGAGAAGCUUUAUAAAAACAGAGAGGAGGUUUUUAAAGUCCAUAGAAAUUAUUUCUGAAUAUAGAAAACAGAAGUAGAAGGUGUCAGAAAUUCAAGUAUAUAUUAAGUGUAGGAACUCUUCAUCUUAAUUUAACCCCCGCCCCCAUACUGGAGAUUUUGCAUUACUUGUAUACAAGCUAACACCACCAUUUUAUGCCCUUAUAAGGGUGCACAGCAAAGGAAACCAUAAAUAAGACAAAAAGACAACCCUCAGAAUGGGAGAAAAUAUUUGCAAAUGAAACAACAGACAAAGGAUUAAUCUCCAAAAUAUACAAACAGCUCAUGGAGCUCGGUAUCAAAAAAAACUAUAUGAUUUUAUUAUAACAUCUUUGUAUUGCUCAAGUAUUCCUCUUUUGUCACAAUGAGCUUUUGAGUGGAGAUCUUUCAUUCUGAUUGGGAUAAGAUUAGGCUGUUCAGUAGUAGUGGCCGCUAAUGGCUUGAGGCAUUUAAUGUUUGUUAACCAGGGUGUUACUCUGUGUCAUUUAUUUUUAUAUACAAAACAGCUUGUCAUUGGCGGGGGUUGGAGGAGGGAUGUCCUCCACAGCAAAAAUGAGGAACUCUAAAACUUUAUAGUUUAACCAUUGAAGAUGAAAAGGAAUAAUCAGGUGUACAUUUAAACGUGACUUUUUUCAUCUUUUCUGUCCUUCAUGAUUUUUUUUACUAUAUCAGAUAAUUACUAAAGAUCUCUAUGUUUAAACCAGGACUUGCUGUGAUGAAGGUAGUUUUUACCUUUCAAUUUGAACCUUCUGGGAAGUCACACUAUAUUCUUGGCAUCAUAAUUCUCUCUUUGGCACCUGAUUUCAUAGACCACAAUUAUGACCUCACCAAACAGCAUAUCUUCGGUAAUUUCAUGGUUUCCAAGUAUUUCUUAAAUUGGACCAUGCCAAGUAAAAUUCUCUGCAGGUCAUUUUCUAGAUACCUUUUCACUGAGCUUCGAAAACAAAAGUCCAUGAAAUAAUCUGUUUGCAGCGUGGGCUUGUGGAGUGUUAGCCACAGGUUCCUGAGCUUUGUAAUGUAGGGAUCCUAAGCACCUUACGUUUGUGGUGACGUGUACGAUUUUUUUCUCUCCCUCGGUGGUAUUACCUCUGUUUUACAGAUGUGGAAACGUGGCCAGAGUUGCACAGUGAGUAAAUCGUGGAGGCAAGGCAUUGACGCAGGUCACGCUGACUACAAAGCAGUAUGGCCUUUCAGGGACAAAAAAGUGAGAGGGGGAGUCAAGAAGAGACCGUUGAGGAAAAUGAGCUAACGCUUUCUUAGCAGCUGGGGGAAGAACAAAUCUGGAGAUGUUAUGAAAGGUAAAGAAACAAGCAGCAGGAAGGAUAAAUUUAGUUUAAAAAAAUGGACUACCUAAUGUUCUUGCAAAAUAAGCCUUCCUGAAAUAUUCCACAUAGUACACAUCCCUUCUUUUCUUUAUUUGUAUGAAAUAUUCACUACGAUAACAUAUUUGAACGUGCUUUGAAAACCUAAGUCCUAAACAAAUACGAAGCGUCAUUAAUGGUAACAGUCUUUGAGACUUUUAGAGGAAAAUGUGGAGUGUAGUUAUUGCUGCUUUUUUAAUGUGUUUGUCCUAUUUUAAUAGUGUAGUUGAUAAAGUAUAAAGUUCCUGUUAGGUGCCAUAAAUAGAAGAAAAUGGCAGUGGUGCACCCAAAUAGGACAGGUGUGAUUGUGGAUUUGAAGUUUUCUGUGAAAAAAAAACUGAACGGGAUGUUGGUGUUGUAUGAAUUGAAAGCUUUUCUUUUUAUCUACUUCUUUAGUGUCUCUUGAGCUGUGCAGCAGUAAGCCUAUUAAAUUUGGACCAAACUCAGAGUAGUUUCCUUUUCCUCUUGUCCUCCCAAAUCAAGGAUAGCAGCUCUGUUGUCCUUUCCUGCUCAGUCCAUUGUCAUUUUCUUAUUUGAGAAAUAAUUCUCUGGGAACACUUACUGUGGCUGAAAGGUGCUCUAUCUUGAGUGUAGAGCCCCCAGCCUAGGAAAUGACAGGGUCUAUUUCAAGCCUGAGCCAAAGUUCCCAGGGUUUCUGUUUGGGGAGGUGUUCAGCCCUCAUAAGGAUUUCAGGCAGCCAGAACAGGAGGAUGAGCUAGAUGUGAAAAGGAGAGAAAGGCUGCGUUAUCUUUACUCCCAUUCGGCAGGGAGCACCAGCACCCACUUCUGAGACAGAGAUUAUCGUUAAGCAUUUCACAGAAAACCACCCUCUCGCUUAGCUUCUGGGGCCAUCAGCUGGCCGCUUUGUCUUUUUAAAGCUCACUGUGUUUGGUCCUUCACCAUCGAUUAGGUCAUUGUUUUUGAGACCUAUCUUAUCUCCUUAUUCGGGAGGGGGAAGCAAGACCAUGACUAAGCAGGUACUCAGCACUCCUGAAUUCUGGUCUCAACUUUUUAAACAUUAUAAACGUAAGAAACAAUAGCUCUUAAAAGUGUCUGUCCUAGCAGUUGGAAGAACUUGCUAAUUCCUGUGUCCUUUGCUUCUCAAACUUCAAUGUGCCUCUGAAUCACUUGAGGAUCUUAUUAAAACACAGGUUCUCUGGGACUUCCCUGGCGGUCCAGUGGUUAGGCCUCUGCGCUUUCACUGCUGUGGGCCUGGGUUCGAUCCCUGGUUGGGGAACUGAGAUCCAGCAAGCUGUGCGGCACAGCCAAAAAAAAGAAAAAAAACACACAGGUUCUCAUUUAGAAGGUCCUGAGAUUCUUCAUUCCUGACAAGCUCCCAGGGGGUGCUGUGGCUGCUGCUCUGUGGACCACACUCUGAUAGCAAGAUUCUAGAGCGACCUUAUCCACUACAGUAGCCGCGAGCACAUGUGGCUAGUCCAGACUGACAUGUGCUGUAAGCGUGGCCACACUUCAGAUUUUGCAGAUCUCAUAUAAAAAAAUCUAAAUAAUUUUUUAUAUUGAUUAUAUGUUGAAGUAAUAUUUGGGAUAUAUUGGAUUAAAUAAAGUAUAUUGAAAUUC
ensembl:lncRNA